AUGCAGCACCACGCGUACAGCCGCCUGGGGAGCUUCGGCGUGGGCGGCGGGGCGGGGGCGGCGGCGUCCCCGCCGUCGUCGCCGCGGCGGGCGUGGGGGAGGAGGGCGUCAGCCAAGGGCGGCGCGGGCGCGGGGAAGGCGGCGGGAGGGGGAGGCGCGGCGCGGCGGGCCGCGCGGGCGGUGCUGGCCGCGCUGCUGCGGCGGCAGGCCGUCUUCCUCUUCGCACCGCUGCUCUACGUCGCGGCGAUGCUGCUCUACAUGGGCUCCAUCUCCCUCGACGGCGUGCCCCGCAUCAUCUCCCGCCCCGCGCCCGGUUCGCUCUACCACAGCCCGCAGCUGUACGCCCGCCUGCGCCCCGAAAUGGACGCCGACAACGCCACGGACGCGCUAGCAACUGUAUGGCGACAUGCUUACAAAGGUGGUGUUUGGCAACCUUGCAUAAGCAAUAAUACCUAUGGUUUGCCCGAACCAAACGGCUACAUAUAUGUGGAGGCAAAUGGUGGUUUGAAUCAGCAAAGGACAUCGAUAUGCAAUGCAGUCGCAGUUGCUGGUUUUCUGAACGCAACUCUUGUAAUCCCAAAUUUUCACUACCACAGCAUUUGGAGGGAUCCUAGCAAAUUCAGUGAUAUCUAUGACGAGGACCACUUUGUCCAACGUUUGAAAAAUGAUGUUCGAGUGGUUGACAAGGUGCCUGGAUUCAUAAUGGAGCGGUUUAGUAACAAUUUGAGUAAUGUUCAUAAUUUCAAGAUAAGGGCUUGGUCUCCUAUUCAGUACUACAAAGAUGUUGUUCUUCCGAAGUUAAUUGAAGAAAAGCUCAUAAGGAUAUCACCUUUUGCAAAUCGGCUUUCAGUUGAUGCUCCGCCUGCUGUUCAACGACUGAGAUGCCUGGCUAACUUUGAAGCCUUAAAGUUUUCUAAACCAAUCACUGCUUUAUCUGACACUUUAAUUUCUCGAAUGAGAGAAAAAAGUGUGGAAAACAACGGGAAAUAUGUAGCAGUGCAUCUCCGUUUUGAAGAGGAUAUGGUUGCGUUCUCUUGCUGUGUCUUUGAUGGUGGUGAUGAGGAAAAAAAGGAAUUGGAUGAGGCCAGGGAAAGAGGUUGGCGUGGAAAAUUUACUAGGCCCGGACGUGUAAUAAGGCCUGGAGCAAUAAGGAUGAAUGGGAAAUGUCCACUUACACCUUUGGAGGUUGGAUUAAUGCUUCGUGGAAUGGGUUUCAGCAAUAAGACUUCAAUCUAUUUGGCUUCUGGGAGAAUAUAUAAAGCAGAGAAGAACAUGGCUCCUCUCCUUGAAAUGUUCCCUCUCUUACAGACAAAAGAAACAUUGGCAUCAGAUGAAGAACUUGCUCCGUUCAAGAAUUUCUCCUCGAGGAUGGCAGCUAUUGACUACAGCGUUUGUGUCCAUAGUGAGGUUUUCGUGACUACUCAAGGUGGAAAUUUUCCUCAUUUCCUUCUUGGUCAUAGAAGAUACUUGUAUGGUGGGCAUUCGAAGACAAUUAAGCCUGAUAAAAGAAGAUUGGCCGUACUCUUUGACAGUCCACGUAUCGGAUGGAAGUCAUUAAAACGUCAGCUGCUUAAUAUGAGGUCGCACAGCGAUGCCAAGGGUAUUCAGUUGAAAAGAGCAAAUGAAUCUGUAUACACGUUUCCAUGCCCUGACUGCAUGUGCCAUCCAAAUAAACCAGAACACCCUAAAUCCAUCCAGGCUAGAUAG
rnacentral:rRNA from 1 species